rnacentral:rRNA from 1 species
CCUACGGGUGGCAGCAGUGGGGAAUAUUGGACAAUGGGCGAAAGCCUGAUCCAGCAAUGCCGCGUGUGUGAAGAAGGCCUUCGGGUUGUAAAGCACUUUCAGUGGGGAAGAAAGGCUUGGGGCUAAUACCCUCGAGGAAGGACAUCACCCACAGAAGAAGCACCGGCUAACUCCGUGCCAGCAGCCGCGGUAAUACGGAGGGUGCGAGCGUUAAUCGGAAUUACUGGGCGGAAAGCGCGCGUAGGCGGUCUGAUAAGCCGGUUGUGAAAGCCCCGGGCUCAACCUGGGAACGGCAUCCGGAACUGUCAGGCUAGAGUGCAGGAGAGGAAGGUAGAAUUCCCGGUGUAGCGGUGAAAUGCGUAGAGAUCGGGAGGAAUACCAGUGGCGAAGGCGGCCUUCUGGACUUACACUGACGCUGAGGUGCGAAAGCGUGGGUAGCAAACAGGAUUAGAUACCCGUGUAGUC